rnacentral:rRNA from 1 species
UAGCUAGUUGGUGAGGUAAAGGCUUACCAAGGCGACGAUCUGUAGCGGGUCUGAGGGGAUGAUCCGCCACACUGGAACUGAGACACGGUCCAGACUCCUACGGGAGGCAGCAGUGGGGAAUUUUGGACAAUGGGGGCAACCCUGAUCCAGCCAAGCCGCGUGAGUGAAGAAGGCCUUCGGGUUGUAAAGCUCUUUCGGCCGGGAAGAAAUCGCAUGGGCCAAUACCCUGUGUGGAUGACGGUACCGGAAUAAGAAGCACCGGCUAACUACGUGCCAGCAGCCGCGGUAAUACGUAGGGUGCGAGCGUUAAUCGGAAUUACUGGGCGUAAAGCGUGCGCAGGCGGUUUUGUAAGACAGGCGUGAAAUCCCCGGGCUUAACCUGGGAACUGCGUUUGUGACUGCAAGGCUAGAGUACGGCAGAGGGGGGUGGAAUUCCACGUGUAGCAGUGAAAUGCGUAGAGAUGUGGAGGAACACCAAUGGCGAAGGCAGCCCCCUGGGUCGAUACUGACGCUCAUGCACGAAAGCGUGGGUAGCAAACAGGAUUAGAUACCCUGGUAGUCCACGCCCUAAACUAUGUCAACUAGGUGUUGGGUGGGUAAAACCAUUUAGUACCGUAGCUAACGCGUGAAGUUGACCGCCUGGGGAGUACGGCCGCAAGGUUAAAACUCAAAGGAAUUGACGGGGACCCGCACAAGCGGUGGAUGAUGUGGAUUAAUUCGAUGCAACGCGAAAAACCUUACCUACCCUUGACAUGCCAGGAACUUGCCAGAGAUGGCUUGGUGCCCGAAAGGGAGCCUGGACACAGGUGCUGCAUGGCUGUCGUCAGCUCGUGUCGUGAGAUGUUGGGUUAAGUCCCGCAACGAGCGCAACCCUUGUCGUUAAUUGCCAUCAUUUAGUUGGGCACUUUAACGAGACUGCCGGUGACAAACCGGAGGAAGGUUGGGAUGACGUCAAGUCCUCAUGGCCCUUAUGGGUAGGGCUUCACACGUCAUACAAUGGUCGGUACAAAGGGUUGCCAAGCCGCGAGGCGGAGCCAAUCCCAGAAAGCCGAUCGUAGUCCGGAUUGCAGGCUGCAACUCGCCUGCAUGAAGUCGGAAUCGCUAGUAAUCGUGGAUCAGCAUGUCACGGUGAAUACGUUCCCGGGUCUUGUACACACCGCCCGUCACACCAUGGGAGCGGGUUCCGCCAGAAGUAGGUAGCCUAACCGCAAGGGGGGCGCUUACCACGGCGGGGUUCGUGACUGGGGUGAAGUCGAAACAAGGUAGCCGUAGGGGAACCUGCGGCUG